UACGUAGGGUGCAAGCGUUGUCCGGAAUUAUUGGGCGUAAAGAGCUCGUAGGCGGUCUGUCGCGUCUGCUGUGAAAACUCAGGGCUUAACCCUGAGCUUGCAGUGGGUACGGGCAGACUAGAGUGCGGUAGGGGAGACUGGAAUUCCUGGUGUAGCGGUGAAAUGCGCAGAUAUCAGGAGGAACACCGAUGGCGAAGGCAGGUCUCUGGGCAUUAACUGACGCUGGAGGAAGCGGAAAGCAUGGGGAGCGAACAGG
rnacentral:rRNA from 1 species